rnacentral:rRNA from 1 species
CCUACGGGAGGCAGCAGUAGGGAAUAUUGCUCAAUGGGGGAAACCCUGAAGCAGCAACGCCGCGUGGAGGAUGAAGGUUCUCGGAUUGUAAACCCCUUUUGUUAGAGAAGAUAAUGACGGUAUCUAACGAAUAAGCACCGGCUAACUCCGUGCCAGCAGCCGCGGUAAUACGGAGGGUGCAAGCGUUACUCGGAAUCACUGGGCGUAAAGAGGGCGUAGGCGGGAUAGCAAGUCAGAUGUGAAAUCCUAUGGCUUAACCAUAGAACUGCAUUUGAAACUGUUAUUCUAGAGUAUGGGAGAGGUAGGUGGAAUUCUGGGUGUAGGGGUAAAAUCCGUAGAGAUCAAGAGGAAUACUCAUUGCGAAGGCGACCUGCUAGAACAUAACUGACGCUGAUGCGCGAAAGCGUGGGGAGCAAACAGGAUUAGAUACCCCUGUAGUC